CCUAGGGUCCGAGUUGUAAKUUGUAGAGGAUGCUUUUGGUGAGGUGCCGCCCGAGUUCCCUGGAACGGGACGCCACAGAGGGUGAGAGCCCCGUCUGGCUGGCCGCCGAGCCUCUGUAAAGCUCCNUUCGACGAGUCGAGUAGUUUGGGAAUGCUGCUCAARAUGGGAGGUAUAUGUCUUCUAAUGCUAAAUAUUGGCCAGAGACCGAUAGCGCACAAGUAGAGUGAUCGAAAGAUGAAAAGCACYUUGAAAAGAGGGUUAAAUAGUACGUGAAAUUGUUGAAAGGGAAGCGCUKGUGACCAGACUUGGGCGCGGCGGAUCAUCCGGGGUUCUCUCCGGUGCACUUCGCCGCGUCUAGGCCAGCAUCAGUUCGUCGCGGGGGAAAAAGGCUUCGGGAACGUGGCUCCUCCGGGAGUGUUAUAGCCCGUUGCAUAAUACCCUGCGGWGGACUGAGGACCGCGCAUCUGCAAGGAUGCUGGCGUAAUGGUCACCAGCGACYCGUCUUGAAACACGGACCAAGGAGUCGUCUUUCGUAUGCGAGUGUUCBGGGUGUCAAACCCCCGUACGCGUAAUGAAAGUGAACGCAGGUGAGAGCUUCGGCGCAUCAUCGACCGAUCCUGAUGUUCUCGGAUGGAUUUGAGUAAGAGCAUACGGGGCCGGACCCGAAAGAAGGUGAACUAUGCCUGUAUAGGGUGAAGCCAGAGGAAACUCUGGUGGAGGCUCGCAGCGGUUCUGACGUGCAAAUCGAUCGUCAAAUAUGGGUCA
rnacentral:rRNA from 1 species